rnacentral:rRNA from 1 species
AUGAACGCUGGCGGCGUGCCUUAUACAUGCAAGUCGAGCGAACAGACGAGGAGCUUGCUCCUCUGACGUUAGCGGCGGACGGGUGAGUAACACGUGGAUAACCUACCUAUAAGACUGGGAUAACUUCGGGAAACCGGAGCUAAUACCGGAUAAUAUAUUGAACCGCAUGGUUCAAUAGUGAAAGACGGUUUUGCUGUCACUUAUAGAUGGAUCCGCGCCGCAUUAGCUAGUUGGUAAGGUAACGGCUUACCAAGGCAACGAUGCGUAGCCGACCUGAGAGGGUGAUCGGCCACACUGGAACUGAGACACGGUCCAGACUCCUACGGGAGGCAGCAGUAGGGAAUCUUCCGCAAUGGGCGAAAGCCUGACGGAGCAACGCCGCGUGAGUGAUGAAGGUCUUCGGAUCGUAAAACUCUGUUAUUAGGGAAGAACAAAUGUGUAAGUAACUAUGCACGUCUUGACGGUACCUAAUCAGAAAGCCACGGCUAACUACGUG